AUUGAACGCUGGCGGCAUGCCUUACACAUGCAAGUCGAACGGAUUGAAGGGGCUUGCUCCUUCAGUUAGUGGCGAACGGGUGAGUAAAGCAUCGGAACGUACCCAGUCGUGGGGGAUAACGUAGCGAAAGUUACGCUAAUACCGCAUACGAUCUGAGGAUGAAAGCGGGGGAUCGCAAGACCUCGCGCGAUUGGAGCGGCCGAUGUCGGAUUAGCUAGUUGGUGAGGUAAAGGCUCACCAAGGCGACGAUCCGUAGCUGGUCUGAGAGGAUGAUCAGCCACACUGGAACUGAGACACGGUCCAGACUCCUACGGGAGGCAGCAGUGGGGAAUUUUGGACAAUGGGGGAAACCCUGAUCCAGCCAUGCCGCGUGAGUGAAGAAGGCCUUCGGGUUGUAAAGCUCUUUCAGUCGGAAAGAAAAGGCUCCGGAUAAUACCUGGAGUUGAUGACGGUACCGACAGAAGAAGCACCGGCUAACUACGUGCCAGCCGCCGCCGCCG
rnacentral:rRNA from 1 species